rnacentral:rRNA from 1 species
GUGGGGAAUUUUGGACAAUGGGCGAAAGCCUGAUCCAGCCAUGCCGCGUGCAGGAUGAAGGCCUUCGGGUUGUAAACUGCUUUUGUACGGAACGAAAAGACUCCUUCUAAUAAAGGGGGUCCAUGACGGUACCGUAAGAAUAAGCACCGGCUAACUACGUGCCAGCAGCCGCGGUAAUACGUAGGGUGCAAGCGUUAAUCGGAAUUACUGGGCGUAAAGCGUGCGCAGGCGGUUAUAUAAGACAGAUGUGAAAUCCCCGGGCUCAACCUGGGAACUGCAUUUGGGACUGUAUAGCUAGAGUACGGUAGAGGGGGAUGGAAUUCCGCGUGUAGCAGUGAAAGGCGUAGAUAUGCGGAGGAACACCGAUGGCGAAGGCAAUCCCCUGGACCUGUACUGACGCUCAUGCACGAAAGCGUGGGGAGCAAACAGGAUUAGAAACCCCAGUAGUCC